UGGCGCUUGAGGCUUUUUGCCUCAUGCGAUCGGCACAAAAGCGGAUGUGCGGUGAGGCAGAAAGAAGAAAGCCCCGAAGGUCAAUUUUCAUUAACCAACGAGGCCUACUCCGACGCCUGAACACCGUCAGAGUAGCCUCUUACCCGCCGCAAGGCAAGGAGAAGAAAGCGAUG
rnacentral:antisense_RNA from 1 species